GGCUCACCAUGGCAAUGAUACGUAGCCGACCUGAGAGGGUAAUCGGCCACAUUGGGACUGAGACACGGCCCAAACUCCUACGGGAGGCAGCAGUAGGGAAUCUUCCACAAUGGACGAAAGUCUGAUGGAGCAACGCCGCGUGAGUGAAGAAGGGUUUCGGCUCGUAAAACUCUGUUGUUAAAGAAGAACAUAUCUGAGAGUAACUGUUCAGGUAUUGACGGUAUUUAACCAGAAAGCCACGGCUAACUACGUGCCAGCAGCCGCGGUAAUACGUAGGUGGCAAGCGUUGUCCGGAUUUAUUGGGCGUAAAGCGAG
rnacentral:rRNA from 1 species